AUUGAACGCUGGCGGCAUGCUUUACACAUGCAAGUCGAACGGUAACAGGGUGCUUGCACCGCUGACGAGUGGCGAACGGGUGAGUAAUGCGUCGGAACGUGCCGAGUAGUGGGGGAUAACGCAGCGGAAGUUGUGCUAAUACCGCAUACGUACUGAGGUAGAAAGUGGGGGACCUUCGGGCCUCACGCUAUUCGAGCGGCCGACGUCUGAUUAGCUAGUAGGUGAGGUAAAGGCUCACCUAGGCGACGAUCAGUAGCGGGUCUGAGAGGAUGAUCCGCCACACUGGGACUGAGACACGGCCCAGACUCCUACGGGAGGCAGCAGUGGGGAAUUUUGGACAAUGGGCGAAAGCCUGAUUCAGCCAUGCCGCGUGUCUGAAGAAGGCCUUCGGGUUGUAAAGGACUUUUGUCGGGGAGGAAAUCCCCAGCGUUAAUACCGCUGGGGGAUGACAGUACCUGAAGAAUAAGCACCGGCUAACUACGUGCCAGCAGCCGCCGUAA
rnacentral:rRNA from 1 species